GUAUUGGAACAUAAAAAUAAUUAAAAAACGGCCAAUAAUGAAAUUUAGAAAAUUUCUUUUCUAUUAGAGACGGUAAAUAAUUCACCGCCUUUCUCUUAAAGUAUAAAAUGUGAAUGAUUUAUUAAUUUUUUUUAUUCUCAUAUAUAAUCUUAACAACCACAUAAAAAUUUUAACAAAUUACAUAUAAUAUUUAUAACUUAAAAUAUUUUAACAACCUAUCUAUAUAAUUUUAACCAUAAAUAAAAAUUUAAUAAUGCUCAUACAAUCUUAAUAACCUCAAAAAAAUCCUCACAACAUAUAUA
rnacentral:lncRNA from 1 species